AACCCUAGAGAGAUAAUCUACGUCUUUGAGACGCACGGCCAACACAAAUAUUGCUAUAAUUUUUUUAUUUCGCAUCGUACCGUUCUGUCCUUCUAAGUUAUCCCAGUGGCCGGGCAGACCUUUCGCGAGACGGCUGUGUCGCCCUGUCUAUUAGAAUGGCUGGACGCGGGGCCCUUGAUAACAACCAAAUUGAAAAAAAUAUUGGAGAACAGUGAAGAUGAGAUUCUGUCAGAGAGUGACAGUGAAGUGGAGGAUGAGUUGAAUCAAGAUGACGUGCAGAGUAACACCGAAGACGAAUUUGUUGAUGAAGUUGCUGCUGAAGUAAUAGACUCAACAUCGGAGGAAUUGCAUGUCCGUCAAAAAUAAGAAGGAUGUCGAAAAUUACAUGUUAUAAAUAUAAUAAAAGCAUUUGUGGUGAACAUAAAACUGAUAUAUGUAAAGGCUGUAUCUAAAUGUGAUUUAAACUUAAAACUUGUUGAUUUUUUAUAUGAAGCUGUUAAUUAGUCCUUAUUCUAUAAUAAUAAGUAAAAAAAAUAUUGAUUUUAAAUUUAAGAUUUACAUAAUUACUCAACAAAGGAAGACUUUAUAUUUUUUUAGUUAUUUUGUAAGAGGUUAACAAAAUUUCGUUGUUUUUAAAUUAUAUUCAUUUCCUAAUUGUAA